CUGAUACGCAUCUUCUGGAAACAGCUGCACAGAGACCAGUCUCUUUGAGGCCUCAGUGUCCCUCUGCUCUGUGGUGAGGUCACAGUGAGCUAGAAGAGUAUGUGACUUGCUCCAGGUGAUGGAACGUUAGUGUGGUAUCAGCUGAAGUCAAAGGUGGCUUCCUGCCACAGCUCCUUGCCACUCCUGCAUAUUACGUGACCUUGGGAAGAUGAUUUUUCUUAUUUGUGCCUCUAUUUCACCUAAGCAAAACCAGGAGAGAAACAGACAAGCCCUGCAGAUCUCCAUGCAGUCACAGUUUAAGCAUAUUCACUUCACGGACUGCACCUGCCUGAUUAAAGCAGUGAGGCCACGUGUCCCCCAGGAGACACUCAUGCCCUGACUUCCUGCUUGGCCCAGCCCUGCUGACGUCUGCUGACUCCUCCUGGGAGAGGCUCCAGGGCUGCAGAGGGUGGGGGAGCCCCUUAGCAGAGCACUGUGCCCCCUGCCCCCUUCCCGUGCCUCAGGCCGACCCUGGACUGGCCUCCGUCUCCUACUCCAUCCCCAUUAAUCCAUGAUUAGAUAUACAUCUUUGCUUCCUAUCGAGGAGCUGGUGAAUUGGGCCAUUAGAUGGAGAAAAAAGCGUUUUGCAAUGAUCACCAGGGAGAGGAGAUGCCGCCAGUGCCGAGUGGAGAAUCAAUUUGAGCCAGGAAGGCCCUGCCAUCCAUCUCCGUUUGCCGGGAGAGGGUGACUCAGGUCCCCACGUGGAACCAGCUGAACGAGAAGGGGCGGGUUGGGAGCUGGGACCACAGGAGCUCGAGCGUCUGCUGGCGCAGGCACCCGGCUGGGACACGCGGCCGUGACUUGUGCCGCAGCGCAGACUUCUGUCACAUCGGAAAAGGAUCUGAGGGUCAGGGGCUCAGUGACUUUCUAGGGCUGCUCAGCGCUCAGGUGGGGGCUCGGGCAACCACAGCAGGGCACGUCUGCCAGCAGAGCUCAGCCUCCUCAGUAGCCAGCUGUGCAAGGUCACCGACAGCGUCAAUGGUGGCACUGCUCAGGGGCCAUGCUAUGAGCCCACUUUGCAGAUGCG
ensembl:lncRNA